AAUAAGUACAAUUUUACACUGUUCAUAUCCAACAUUUAACGUUCGUCUUAUUUAAAAAAAUUAUGAUUAGUACUUUUUUAUUAUUAUUAGUUGAUAAAACAUUAAUAGUACUUUAUUCAUGUUUUAACUAAUUUUUUUAACUUUUUCAUAAAUUUUUUAAAUAAAACGAAUGGUCAAACGUUAGAUACGAAAACUCACAUUACACUUCUU
rnacentral:pre_miRNA from 1 species